rnacentral:rRNA from 1 species
UCGGGAAUUUUGGGCAAUGGGCGAAAGCCUGACCCAGCAACGCCGCGUGAGGGAUGAAGUAUUUCGGUAUGUAAACCUCGAAAGAAUGGGAAGAAUAAAUGACGGUACCAUUUAUAAGCUCCGGCUAACUACGUGCCAGCAGCCGCGGUAAUACGUAGGGAGCAAGCGUUGUUCGGAUUUACUGGGCGUAAAGGGCGCGUAGGCGGCGCGGUAAGUCACUUGUGAAAUCUCUGAGCUUAACUCAGAACGGCCAAGUGAUACUGCUGUGCUAGAGUGCGGAAGAGGAAACCGGAAUUCUUGGUGUAGCGGUGAAAUGCGUAGAUAUCAAGAGGAACACCUGAGGCGAAGGCGGGUUGCUGGGCCGACACUGACGCUGAUGCGCGAAAGCCAGGGGAGCAAAC